AAUUUAAUUAAUAUUAAUAUAAUAUUAAUAAUCGAUCUGUGUCGAUAUAUAAAAUGUAAAUGGUUAAAAAAAAUAGAUUUUUUGUAGAAAAAUAAUUUCUCCCCGGCGGGGAAUCGAACCCCGGUCUCCCGCGUGACAGGCGGGGAUACUAACCACUAUACUACCGAGGAAUUCAUGAAAGGUAAAAUUUCAGAAUUGUAUAAAAAUUGUAUCAUUGAAAUUACAUUUUCAUUAAUGAAAGAAAAAGAAAAUUGAUACAAUCAUUCGACACAAUUAAUUAUUUAUAUUAUUUUCGAUUCGUUACUACGGUAACUCUGCGACAUUAUAUUAAUACUACUUUAUGUAAAAUAUGAAUACAUUCGUGUGAUACAUUUAAAGAAUUGAUUCUAAAGUUCAAAACAAACGCAAAAGUAUCGAUUGAGAUUUAUUAAGUUAAACGAUUAAGAUUUGUUUGUUAGAUGAAGCGAGAUACAGGUAGGAUAAGACCUAUCCUUCUAUCUUUGUCACACUAUUAAUUCGUUCGGAUCUGUCUCGCUUUAUCUAACUUUGAUUGUUCAUAAUUUAAUAAACGAAAUUUUUGUAUACUCACUUUAAAUAUAUUAAAAAAUAACUUGUAUCACAGAAUUUAUCAUAAAAAGAAAAAAGAAUAUAUAAUUCCUAAAAUACAUUUCCAAUUUUCAAAUUCAAAUAUUUUUUCAAAAAUCAUAUUCUUAAAGUUUAAUCAAAAGUGAAUGAUCAACAGUCAAGAAAUUUUUCUUUGAUAGAAACAAAUAAUUAAAUUUAUUACACAACACGUAAUCGAAUUAAAUUUCUUCUUCUCCUUUCACUUUGAGAAUUCAAUUCGAUUCGAUUUCGAUCGUCUUUCUCUCGUUACUUACCAACGAAAUCGCAUAGAAGAGCAAUGCUACAUUGUGAAAAAUAAACAGAAACGUGUUUUUCACGAGGGAAAAGAAGACGUGCCCGAAGGAAGACACGAAACAACAGAAUGCGAUUACCGUAGAGACCAUUCAUGGUCUCGUUACGAGAUGUCUGCAAAUCACUUGUCAAGGGUCAUGUCGUAAAUUAUAUCGUCUCAUAGCCCGAGGAAGGAGUUCGUCAUUCUGCUUGAACCUCGAGCAGAUUUUUCCUACCCAGAAAGAAAGAAAGAAAGAAAGAAAGAAAGAAAGAAAGAAGGAAAGUUGAUUCGAUAUAAGCGCCUCUUUCCCUUGUAGAAUAUUCUUAGGUCAAUGCUUAGAAUCUUAAGAGCUUAAAGAACCCGCUAGAGUCAAGAACGUAACCGAUAUGAAUACAAAGAAGCAAUAGGAGGUAAAUGUAUACUUCUGUGAACGCACAAGUGAAUACACAAGUCAAUGAUAUUGCAAACCUUUGGAACAAGCUUGCUUUCUUGAAAUACAUAUCUACCAUCGAUAGAUAUUGUUCCGAUAGAUGGAUGUUCGAUCGAUCGUUACCACGAAUUAUGUAUUAUUGGUGUAUACGCGAGACACGUUGCCUUUCGAGGUAAAAUUUUAAUCGUAUUUUUGUGAUUUCGAGAAUUGAA